CUGUUCGAGCGUCAUUGCAACCCUCAAGUAAUGCUUGGUAUUGGAUGUCACUAUUGUGGUGCAUCCCAAAAGUAUUAGCAGUAGCAAUUCAGCUUCUAGCGUAGUAAAUUUCUCGCUUUGGAGUUAAAGUGUCUAAUGCUAGAACCCCUAAUUUAUCAAAGGUUGACCUCGGAUCAGGUAGGGAUACCCGCUGAACUUAA
rnacentral:misc_RNA from 1 species